rnacentral:lncRNA from 1 species
UCUGUUAAGAGGUACAUAGAGUGAUCCAGGAUUGAAUCACUAAACAGCAGUCGAAGUUAUCCUUAGUAACUAAUGGACUAAGGAUUUUUUUUCUCGAUUAUGGAGGUGGUUAAAAGAGUUCUUCGUAAAGGGUUACGUCGAUGCAAGCUUUGACACUAAUCCGAAUAACUAUGAGUAGUGAAACGGAUUCGUAUAGUAGAGUAGAUAUUUGGAGUAUUUACGAAUAGCACGUAGUAGCAACAUCUAUAAGAUGACAUAAAGAUUUGUAAAGAACACACGGAUCUGAAAGUUUUCAGACCCGCUGACUAAAACCUCUCUCACGAGCAAGACGUGAUCAGACCCCACAACUAUAUGGGUGUUGGAUUCGUUAGAAUCACAUGGUGAUGUGAACUAGAUUAUUGACUCUAGUGCAAGUGGGAGACUGUUGGAAAUAUGCCCUAGAGGCAAUAAUAAAUUAGUUAUUAUUAUAUUUCUUUGUUCAUGAUAAUCGUUUAUUAUCCAUGCUAUAAUUGUAUUGAUUGGAAACACAAUACUUGUGUGGAUACAUAGACAAAACACUGUCCCUAGUAAGCCUCUAGUUGACUAGCUCGUUGAUCAAAGAUGGUCAAGGUUUCCUGACCAUAGGCAAGUGUUGUCACUUGAUAACGGGAUCACAUCAUUAGGAGAAUCAUGUGAUGGACUAGACCCAAACUAAUAAAUGUAGCAUGUUGAUCGUGUCAUUUUGUUGCUAUUGUUUUCCUGCAUGUCAAGUAUUUGUUCCUAUGACCAUGAGAUCAUAUAACUCACUGGCACCGUAGGAAUACCUUGUGUGUAUCAAACGUCGCAACGUAACUGGGUGACUAUAAAGAUGCUCUACAGGUAUCUCCGAAGGUGUCCGUUGAGUUAGUAUGGAUCAAGACUAGGAUUUGUCCCUCCGUGUGACGGAGAGGUAUCUCGGGGCCCACUCGGUAAUACAACAUCACAACAAGCCUUGCAAGCAAUGUGACUAAGGAGUUAGUCACGGGAUUUUGUAUUACGGAACGAGUAAAAAAGACUUGUCGGUAAUGAGAUGGAACUAGGUAUAAAGAUACCGAUGAUCGAAUCUCGGGUAAGUAACAUAUCGAUGGACAAAGGGAAUAGUAUACGGGAUUAACUGAAUCCUUGACAUAGAGGUUCAACCAAUGAAGAACUCCAUAUAAUAUGCAGGAGCUAAUAUGGGCAUCCAGGUCUAGCUAUUGGUUAUUGACCGGAGAGUGUCUCGGUCAUGUCUGCAUGGUUCUCGAACCCGCGGGGUCUGCACACUUAAGGUUCGAUGACGUUUCGAUAUAGUUGAGUUAUGUAUGUUGGUGACCAAAAGUUGUUCGGAGUCCCGGAUGAGAUCCCGGACGUCACGAGGAGUUUCGGAAUGGUUCGGAUACGAAGAUUGAUAUAUAGGAAGAGGAUAUUUGGGAUCCGGAAUGGUUUCGGGCGUUUUCAAUAGUGUACCGGGAAUGGCGAAUGGGUUCCGGAGGUCCAUCGGGAGAAGUCCACCCACCCCAGACGGGCCACAUGGGCCUAAGAGGUGGCGUACCAGCCCUUAGUGGGCUGGUCAGCGAGCCCCUGAAGGCCCUUGCGCCAAGGAGGUGGGAGGAGGCCAAGUUGGGAGGGAAUCCUACUAGGAGUAGGACUCCAUCUCCCUUAGUGGAGGAGGAUUCCUCCUCUCUUGGUGCACCACCCCUUCCCCUUCCUCCUAUAUAUACCAGAGGGGAGAGAGGGCAGCCAAUACCUUAUUCCAAGGCGCAACCCCUCUCCCUCCCUCUAGUUCAUUCUUCCUCUAGAUUAGGUUCAGCAGUGCACGACGAAGCCGUGCCGGAUCAGCUCCACCACCAUCGCCUCCACGCCGUUAGGCUGUCAGAGAACGCAGCUACCUCUCUGCACCUCUUGCUGGAUCAAGAAGGCGGAGAUCGUCAUCGAGCUGUACGUGUGCUGAACACGGAUGUGCAGUCACUUCGGCACUAGAUCGGGAUGGAUCGUGAUGAGUUCACGGGACGGAUCGUGAUGGGAUCGCGGGAUGGAUUGCGAUUUGGAUCGCGGUCUCGGUCGCUUUCAAGACGACCGCCCGAGUGGACAGCUGCAAUCGACUACACGAUUCUAGGCAUUUUUUACAUUGAUGCCAAACAAAUAUAUUGUUAAAACAAAGGGACUGAUAUGCGUUCUCCCGUGAACGUGUGAUAUGCAUCCACCACCUCGACAGCCGUUCGAUCCAUGCGCGGACAGUGUGCGAUCGAUCUCCUGUCAUGCCUCGCUUGUCCCAUCCCCGCUUAUUAAGUCCUGCAACAACGAUUUUUGUUGCAGAAACAUUUAUAACACAGAUUCUGUUACAUAUUCCCGCAACAACGGCUUUGUUGAAGAAACAUUUAUAACAUAGACUGUGUUGUAGAUUCCCGCAAUAACGACUUUGUUGCAGAAUCAUUUAUAACACAGAAUGCGUUGCGGAAUUUUUGUGCAACAAAGGUUGCGUUGCAAAAAAAAUUGCAACACAUGUUGUGUUGUGGAUUUUUUUGAACAAAGAUAUUGUUCCAGAAACACCACCCCUGUUGCGUGCCUCGAGCGCGUCAUUGUCGGCCGCAAAAAAGCAAUAGCAUUGUUGUUCCUCAUCGUGUGUAGAAGCACGCGGAUAGUCAUGCCUCGCGUGAGAAGAAACUUGAAGGGGAGGAUGACAUGGGCCUACCUUGCCGGUGAACGAUGGUUGCCGGCGCGGGCCGGUGGCAAGCAGGGAAUGACAUACGGGAUUAUAUGAAUCCUUGGCACUGAGGUUCAAGCGAUAAGAUCUUCAUAGAAUAUGUAGGAUCCAAUAUGGGCAUCCAGGUCCCGCUAUUGGAUAUUGACCGAGGAGUCUCUCGGGUCAUGUCUACAUAGUUCUCGAACCCGCAGGGUGUGCACACUUAAGGUUCGACGUUGUUUUAUGCGUAUUUGAGUUAUAUGGUUGGUUACCAAAUGUUGUUCGGAGUCCCGUAUGAGAUCAUGGACGUCACGAGGGUUUCCGGAAUAGUCCAGAAACGAAGAUUGAUAUAUAGGAUGACCUCAUUUGAUUACCGGAAGGUUUUCGGAGUUACCGGGAAUGACGAAUGGGUUCCGGGAGUUCACCGGGGGGGCAACCCACCCCGGGGAAGCCCAUAGGCCUUGGGGGUGGCGCACCAGCCCUUAGUGGGCUGCUGGGACAGCCCAGGAAGGCCCUAUGCGCCAUAGGAAGAAAAUCAAAGAGAAAAGAAAGNNNNNNNNNNNNNNNNNNNNNNNNNNNNNNNNNNNNNNNNNNNNNNNNNNNNNNNNNNNNNNNNNNNNNNNNNNNNNNNNNNNNNNNNNNNNNNNNNNNNAGCAGGUCGCGCGCGCCUCGCCGCCUGAUCCGACGCGACGGGUCAGCCCCGUCCCUCGUCUCGCAAGCCGCAAGCACAAGGCUGUCGUCCACCUCCAUCGGCCCGCAGGCCUGCACCACCUCGGUUCCUGCCCCGUCCGGCGCCUCUCCUCUCGCCUGUGGCCUCCCUCGCUUGAGCACGUGCACCAACAAACAAGUGCAUCGUGUACGCCCCGCCUCGAUCCCUACGGCCAGCAGCGUCGUGCGUGACACCGUGACAGCGUCGCCGCCGUGGCAGGGGUCACUCCGUCCCCGCUGUCGCUGUGACUUACGGUGGCCGUGGCAGGCACCGACACGGCCCCGGCAGAGUUCUCUUUUGAUCCCACCCGGCCGGCCGGUAGGGUCGACGCCCCUCAUCUCUCCGUGCGGAAAAAGAAGGAGGGGACAGACUGACGAGCCAGCAGCAGAUCGGCCAGCGAAACAAGUGCAAAAAGGCGGGAACGGGGAUCCGAUACGGCAACAAGCGGACAAACGCAGCGCAGAGAGGGUUUCGCCAUUGCCAUGCAAACCCCGACCCACUUUGACCGCCCCGCCCCGUCCCGUCCGUCCGUCCGUCCACUCCCACGCCGCUCCACGUUCUUCCCCUCGAAUGCGACGAGUACCUCGCCAGUCCACGGGGUGCUUCGCCUGCCGACCCAUCCCAUCGCCCAUCAGCCAUCUUCUUGGCCAAGCUUUCGGCGCGGGUCAUCUCACCUCACACCGCCCGCUGCUCUUCCUCCUUCCCUUCCCUAUGCCUGCGCUGCUCUGCUCCGCUCCGCUCCGGUCCUAUAUUUUAAUGGAAGAAUAUCGGGGGAAGGCGUGAGGGAGUGGUUGAACUGAAAACCGGUUGACGCUCGACGCAGCAGCAGCGUGGCGCCCGAGAAGCACGCGGUUCACUGCGCUGCCGCAGGCUUUUUCUCCCCCCGGCUGGCUGGCUGGCUUCUUGGCUCGACCGCGCUCGCUCGCUUCCCCUCCCAUCCCAUUCCCACAUGCCCACGGAAAAGGGAAUGGCCGCCUUCUGGGGUUUCUUACAGGACGACGGCGGCGGACCUGCGCCCGACAUGAACGAGUUCCCCUACUACUCCGCCGCCGACCUCGCGUCCUGGCCGCCUUCCUCCCUCGCGCCGGUACGCGCCCCCUUCUUCUUCCUCCACCUGCUGCUUGGGGUUUCUACUUCGCGUGGUCCGGUCCGGCGAUUGCCAAAGGCGUGCCUUUUCUUUAAUUUCCUUGAUCCCUCUCCCGUGGCUAACCGCAGGCCGGCGCCGUCGUGAAGGCGGAGAGCGGGAGCCCGUCGAUGAUCGACCACCUCCACGCCGUCUCCGGAGCCGAUUUCGGCGGCGGCGGCGGCGAGGACGACGAGGUCGCGCCGGAGCUCGGCCAGCAGCGCCUCGAGCGCAAGAGGCCCCCCCACGGCCGCCACACGCCGCAGCAGAUCCAGGAGCUCCAGGCGUACGCGCACGUCCCCACCCAUACAUACAUCAAAAUAAGUUGAUGCCGUGUCCGCUUCUUUGAUCAUGCUCAUGCAUGCCGGUGUUCAUCGGUGCAGGUUGUUCAAUCAAUGCCCCCACCCCGACGAGAAGCAGCGGGCGGCGGUGGGCAAGAGGGUCUGCCUCCGGCCGAGCCAGGUCAAGUUCUGGUUCCAGAACCGCCGCACGCAGAUCAAGGUAAUUAUCCAAUUUAAUCUAAUCGAGCGCUCCAACACUCUCGGUCCUUUACUUGGUUUGCGCGUCGAGUGCCAUUGUUGGCAAUGCUGAUUCCUCUCUGUGGUGGUUGAUCUUGCAAGAGGGAAUCGCUGCAGCACGAGAACAAGCAGUUGAGGGAGGAGAACGGCAAGCUGCGCGCCGAGAACUUGUCCCUCCGGGAGGCGAUGACGCGUCCGGUGUGCGGCUGCUGUGGUGGCCCGGUCCCGGCGAUGCUUGAGGACUCGCCGUCCCUGGAGGAGGAGCGCCUGCGCGUCCAGAACGCCACGCUCAGGAUCGAGCUCAGCCGAUCCUGCGCCCUCGCUUCCGCGUUCCUCGGCAGGUCCGUUUCUUCCGUGGCGGCGCCACCCACGCCAGGCUCGCCAGUGGACCGUAUUGGCUCAGUGCCGGCGACCACCGUGGCCCACUCGACGGUCACCGAGUUCACGGGCAGUCCCUCCAGCCAAACAGUGGAAAUGGCGGUCACGACCAUGGCGAAGGCUGGCAUCGACGAGUCCGUUUUCCUGGAGCUUGCGACGAGUGCAAUGGAUGAGCUCGUCAAGAUGGCGCAGAUGGAUGAGCCGUUGUGGAUUCCAAAUGCCCUCUUGCCCGGUUCCCUUGUCAAGGCGACGCUCAACCAUGAAGAGUACUUGAAGACCUUCUCGCCGUCCAUAGGGGUGAAGCCUCCGGGGUUUGUAUCAGAGGCCUCUAGGGAAUCCGGCAUUGUAGCCAGUGACGGCAGCUUCGAGCUUGUGGAGACUCUGUUGGAUGAGGUUGUCCUCGUCUCACCAUGCCCCCCAUCUUGUUGCUAUUGCCUCAUUACAUGUAUGUCUGAACUUACAUUGCCUGCUUUGAAAUCUUGCUUCAGAGACAGUGGUCCAGUUUCUUCUCGUGCAUAAUCGCCGAAUCAUCGACAAUCGAGGAGAUCUCUACUGGAGCUGCAGGAAGUAGAGAUGGUGCAUUGCUGCUUGUGAGUGUCGUGUUGAUCAGUCUCUAGUGUCCAUAUGCACGUCUUAUAGUUACUUAACUGUACUCGCAUCUAAGUGUUUCGUCUAUCAUUGCAACAGAUGCAGGCAAAGCUGCAGGUUCUUUCACCUCUUGUCCCUAUCAGGGAGGUCACCUUUCUCAGGUUCUGCAAACAGUUGGGUGAGUGUUUAUGGGCUGUAGUGGAUGUUUCCAUUGAUGGGUUGGUGAUGGAGCAAGGCCUUGCCGUGGCAUCCACCGCUGCAAAUAUGAAGUGCCGGAGGCUGCCUUCUGGCUGUGUGGUGCAAGAAAUCCCCAAUGGCUUCUGCAAGGUACACCAUCCAGUCUACAUUAACUUGUUCACAUCAUGUUCUUAGGUUGGCAAUUGAAAGCAAUGUUAGCAAUGCCUCUGUGUUCAUUGAUCAGUAACAGCUAUGCUAUUUAUUUGCCACUCCUAGUAGGCUACCACCAAAAUCAACCGUGCUAGUUCCACCGGUUUACCGCUCUAUGCAUACGGUGAUCAUCAGCUAGCUUAUUGCAAAAUGCAUGUUUGUUCCAGAUCUGCAUGACCGCAUGAGAAUGUUCUUUUCACAGUUUUUUUUUUUUGGUUUAGUGCGUUAUUGAGUGAUCACGGUGCAGUAUAGUACUCACAAGCCAAUAGGGUACGCUCAGUUUUUUCAAUAGAUUUAGUAACUGCGGUUGCUAGCCCACCACCUCAAGUUAGGUGAUCUCUUGUCGGCACAGAGAGGGUAAACAAGUGAUUUGUGAAUAAUUAACUGGAUUUAUAAUCCACUAUUUCUUCCCUAGCAUGCGCCUUUUCUUAGUUUAAUCUCGGGUCCAAUUCUUGAAGCGAAAAUCCUAUACUAACUGCCCACAAUACAUAUCAUCAAUUUGUCUCAUCGUCGAGAAUUUAAGAUCUUGACCACGUCGUCUAUUAUUUGUCUUCAUGGAAGAUACUUUUAGUCUUUGAAAGAGGAAGCUUCAGUUAUUUUUUGCACAUCUAAUUCACAUAUAUCAGCUUUUUUUCGUGCUAUCUGUCCAUAAGUUGACAAGGGUGCUAGACUGCUAGUUAUUUAUUUUAUGGGUUUCAUUAUGGCUGUCAUUCGUGUGGCGUAUCACAAAGGCCAGGCAUGUGAAGAAGGAUCAGCUGUUCGUAUAUCAAUCAUAUUGUGUGAUUCCGUGUUUAUCUUCCCUUCAUUGACUCAUCGUUUGCUAAUUAGAUGCAACCAACAGUGUGGGAAAAUGUGUCAAAUUGUAGUUUUAUUGGAAUGUAAUCAUUCAAUACAUGUUACUCCAUCCGUUCCUAAAUAUAAGUCUUUGAAGAGGUUUCACUAGAAGACUGCAUACGAAUGUAUAUAGACAUACUUUAGAAUGUACAUUCAUUCAUUUUACUCCGUAUGUAGUUACUUAGUGAAAUCUCUAAAAAGACUUAUAUUUAGGAACGGAGGGAGUACAAUGUAGGAGUUCAUGAUAGGUAAGUAUCUUGAGAUAGGAUUAGUCUAAAUUAUUCUCUUUUCUUUUUCAUGUUCAAUUACUUGGCCAAAAUAUUUCAGCAAAACGUAAAAACAUGAUUUGCUUGCACUAGUGUACCUGACACUAGUAGAAUUGCACUGCAGAGCUUGAAAAUGCUUUUGGGCAUGCAGUCAUGCACUUAGGUGCUAACAGAUGCAGUUGAAUAUACACUGCAGGUUACAUGGGUUGAACAUACAGUAUAUGACGAAUCCUCCAUUCACCAGCUCUACCGGCCUCUCCUUCGUUCUGGCCUUGCCCUUGGCGCAGGGCGUUGGCUUUCUACGCUACAGCGUCAGUAUGAGUGCUUGGACGUUCUCAUGCCGAAGCAAGACGCAUCAGGUAUGGAAAUAUGAUAAUGUCAGCACCUAUGUGGCAUGCUUUGCAUCGUAUUGCUUCCUUAGGAUUAAAAUUGCAAUGCGCCACAUAUGCCACAGAUGCCAUGUUGGAAGGAUCACGGAGCUUGCUGAGGUUAGCAGAGAGGAUGAUGGAGAACUUCUGUGCGGGGGUGGGCGCAUCUUCUGCUGAAUGGAGCAAACUGGAUGACUUCACGGGGAGCAUUGGGGAGGAUGUGCGUAUCAUGGCACGUAGGAGUGUGGAUGAACCAGGGGUGCCACCUGGUGGUGUGGUGGUGUGUGCUGCCACAUCGGUGUGGAUGCUUGUAACACCCAAACGGCUUUUCAACUUCCUGUGCAAUGAGGGAACGCGUGCUGAAUGGGACAUCCUAAGCAGGGGUGGCUCUAUGCAGGAGGUGACAAAAAUCUACAAGGGGCAACUGAAUGGCAACGCUGUAUCUCUACUUAAGGGCACUGUGAGUAUUAUCUAUCACUUCGCCUAGUUAGUUGUUGCUCCUUCUAUGCUUAUUAGAAACAUUGCGUGUUUAAUUGACUAGUAGUCGAGAGGCUUUUCAGCGAUCUAGAAGCUGAGCCCAUUCAGUGCUGUAAUCUUGGGAACAAUGCAUCACUUUCAAGCUUUCGAGAUUUGAGAAGAUAACAACACAUAUACCUAAAACGUGUUACUAUGCUCCGAAUGUUUGUUCAGAAGGUAUAACAAGUGUAUGUAUGGGUAAGGCAUGGUUAAUACUGAGCAUGGUGACAAAUAAGUGUGAAAUUGAGAGUUAUAGGGCGUGUUUGGUUAGAGGCCUGGCUAGUGUGCCUGAGAAAAUAAGGUGCCUGAAAAGAGCCUGGGAUGAUGCAAAAAUUUGCCUGGCCAGGCUAGCCUGCUACUCAUGUGUUUGGUUCCUGUCCUCGCCUGGCUGAUGUGAUUUGACUGCUUAAAGUAUUAGAAAAAUAGAUGUACAACUAGUUCUAGACAUAAACUAGACAUAUAUUCGAGGAAGACCAUAAGAUGUUUUCACCAGUCUAUUGACUAUUCCAAAACUAAAGUAGAUGUACUUUUAGGACUCAUGCAGUCAUGCUUGAAUUACUACAGUUAUACACAAAAUCAUGAAAUUUACUAGUGUACUAUGUUUAUCAAUAAAAGUACUCGACAUAAAUGACUUGUAUAAUUUUGUAAGUUUUUUUCCCCUCAGGCACGCACCCAAAUGUGUCGAUUUGUAGUACAAGAAAACAGCAAGAGACUGACGGUAGUAAGUAAAUCAGGAUGUCCUCUGGUAUCUAAGUUCUAUUCCGAAAUCAAAUUAGGUGUACUUUUAGGAUUCAUGCAGUCAAGCUGGCAUUACUACAGUUGUACACAAAAUCAUGAAAUUUACUACUCCCUCCGUCCCAAAAUAAGUGUCUUAACUUUGUACUAGCCCUAGUAUAAAGUUGUACUAAGCUCAGAGACAGUUAGUUUGGGACGGAGGGAGUAGUAUGUUUGUUAUCGGUGGAAGUGCUCGAAAUCAAGUCUCUAAACAAUAAUGGUCGGACAUGUUUUUUCUUUUGAAAGAAUUCAUGCAGUCAGCUGGAGACAUAUGAAGACGGCAAGGGAAUUCUUUGUUCUAAAUCUGUGUAAACUCGUCUAGUUUCUAUGAGCAUCUAUUGUGCCAUUUUGGGUCUUGGUCAUAAGCAUCAUCAUUGGCAGAAUGUUUUCGGCUUCAGGAUGUUAAUCGUGCAUGAUUUGUGUGACUAUUCUUCCUGUGCUCCCUUUUUUAUUUAUUAACCUCAACCCUAAAUACUGUCUAAUUUUUACAUGGUAUAGGCCCCAAACACCCACCAGGACAGCAGCAUUCUGGUCCUACAGGAGACCUGCAUGGAUGCAUCCGGCUCGAUGGUGGUGUACACCCCUGUGGACAUCCCGGCAAUGCGCCGUGUCAUGGGCGGAGAAGGUGACCCGGCGUCGAUCAUGCUCCUGCCAUCCGGUUUCGUCAUUCUGCCUAGCGUGCCUGGCGACGACGGUGGGCACAAGGCAUGCGGCUCCCUGCUCACCGUGGCGUUCCAGAUACUCGGGAGCAGGCAGCCCACUGGGAAGCUCACCGUGGAGUCGGUGCAGACCGUGGGCAGCCUCAUCUCCUGCACCAUCAACAGGAUCAAGACGGCGCUGCGCUGCGACGCCUGAGCUUCGGGAGAUGGGGGGACUUUUUGGCGUUGGAGGGAGCGGCCGGCGAUGGGUCUCGAGUCGAGAACGAACCGCGAAAAUAGGAGCGUGGCCUUUGCUAGGUGGUAAGGACCGGGCUGGGCAGGUCCUUAGCACAGAGCAAUGGUGGUGGUUCGGGUAUUGACUCGCAGUUCUCUCCCAUGACAUUCGCAUUUUGGACAGACAGUAAGAGCUUAACCACAGAGCAAUGGUGGACUGGUAGGUAGUGUUGGUAGCUAUGAGGUUCCAUGUUUUGGGGAUGGCAAGAUGUGAUGCUUUCUGCAGGAACUCGCUCAGAAUGGUCAUGUCCCGCCGUUGGUCAUAUGUUCGGUCUCCUUUUGAGCAAGUCUUUAGGUUCCGGGGGUGUCAUCUGGCAAGCAAUCAGUCAUCUACUAGUCUACUAGAAAGAAUCAACUUUGCUAUGUUAACUUGCAAGAUUAUCAGAUCAAUCUGCAGUUUACUUUAUCAUGAUGUCAUCUGACAUUCAACAUCGUUGUGCACUGACGCUAAGAUGAGAACGCAGAAUAGCUGUAAACUCUGGGACGUGGAGUUUCUACUCUCGGCUCAAUGUGCCUAACCGAAAAAUAGUACUCCCUCUGUCCCAUAAUGUAAGGCUUUUUUGACACUGGAUGAGUGAGUAACGAAAAUCAAGAAAGUAUGAACACUUUUGGCAACAAGCAUUGCUGAAUUUUCUACAUACGCGUAAAUGUUCAUAAACCUAAUGCUCUGGGCAAAAAAAAUUCAAAAUCAAUGCUCCAAAAAAGCAAUUUUGGAGUGCUGAUUUUUUUAUUUCUCACCAAACCUCCACAAAUGUGAUUUCAUCACGGAAAUUUGCUGUCAGAAAACAAAGCAACGUUUGUUGUAAAAAAAUCAUUUUUUUUCUUUUUCCCUAUUUUUGGAUUUUUACUGUUCACAGCAAGAGCAUUUGGGCUCAGGAUUAGAAGACCACUUUUGCAACUCUGCUCGUAAGUUCGGACAGUUGGACUGUAAAAUUCAGAAUGAAAAUAAAAUGCAAGGAAAUGAUGGAUCCAUUUUCUGCCAAUCCAUAAUUGAUAUGCAGUUGACUUGGAUAACUGACUGUUCCUUCAUGAUGCUGGUACGACAGCGCAAUAGACUAAGAAAGACCAGAAAAAACCAUAGAUUAGUUCCGAGAUACAGCAGCCCGUGAACCACCAAUGGCUGGGCCAAAAGCAGUCGCGCUACGAGGACUCGGUCUCCUCACUAGUCACUACAGGCUACAACUACAUCUCCGAUGCGAAAUAAACAUAAAUAGUUCACUUCAGCAAAGAAAGAACUAUCUUACACACUGAGAUACCACGACAUAGGGAUAAACAGGCUAUGCAUCACCACACUGUUAACUGACGUCAGCGCAGCUGCAGUAUUAGGCCUUUGCUGUUUCUCUCACUAGAGCAAACUUGGCCAGAAGGCCAGAAAGCUGAAGGAAUGACCCAACGCCAUCACAGAUCCUCAUGUGAGCAAAUCCUGUUUCCUGCACGAACAAACAUGAAAAUUUAGUUGGUGGGAUAAAUCAGAAGGGACAAUGGCAUAAACAACAAGGCUGGGUUUACCUUAAGCAACUCCAGCUUCAGAAAUUCAGCCAUGUCAUAAUUCUUGAUGACACGGAAGAGAGUAGUGAUUAUGUCGGUAGGAGAGUAGCCCAAAUCAUAGAGUUGCUUUAGGCCAGAGCAGGCCUCAUCAAACUUCCCAUCGAGUACAUUUUUCACCAUACUCUUGACAUGCAAGGGAUGUGGUUGAUCGCAUACCUAGAACCGGUUCAUUGUUAGUGCUGAUUGAAGAGGUAUUGCAGAACUCAGAUGAUGCAGAAUGAGAUAGCUUGUGCCUACCUUGAACACAUUUUCUUGAUUAACAAAACGAAACCCACUAACUGUAGCUUGCAAAUUGUUCAGAGCUUGCCUCAUGUCACCAUCAGCAGUAAAAAUGAUGGCUUCAAGACCUUCUGGCACAUAAGGGACCUUCAUUGAACAAGAAUAGAUAUGUUAGAUACAGUUAAACCAGUGCACCCCAGAACUAACAAACAGAAUAUUAUUUAGGGGUGUUCGGAUCACACCCUAGUUUCAAGGAUUAACAAACUUUCAGGCAAUAAGAACAAAUAUAGUGAUAUCAAGAUGAUCAAAUGGAUUUCAACACAACAAAAUAAAAAUAAAACGGAAAUUUACUGAAAACAACUGGGAGUUGCCUGUUUGAAGUCUUGCAGGUAAGCAAGCUCCUGGAGAGGUUUCAUAUUGACCAUCCUUGUUACCCAAUUGGCAGAAUAAUAAGUUUAUCAAUCAAACGACUUGGUCUUUUGAACAUUUUAGUAAGACACUGAAAAAUGGAAGCCUGGAUGCUCCUUUUAUUAAAAAAAAAACAAUUUAGGAUGACAAAAUAGGAUAUGCACCACUUGACUCGACCAGUCAGAGCCUCAAAGUACAUGCAGUGAAGUAGUUAAGCGGGUACUUUUUAAGACCGAACUGACUUAUCCUCAUGGGAUAGACUAAGCGUGUGCUUUUCUUUAACCAUCAGUUCACAAUAACGUCCACUCCACAUGCACUAGCUGUCAUACAAUCUUAAUUAACUGGUUCUGAAAAUAACAACCUCUUGAGCAAGAACACUCAAGUAGCAUUAAAAUAUUUAACUGAGCCAAUUACUUAAUAUUAGGAUUUAGGAAUCAGAAGCAUUCACGGUUAAAUAACAUAUCGGCAGCAAAGGCUACAUGAUCAGGUAAGAAUUAAGAGCAGUAGUCAAGCCACCAAAUUGUGACACCAGCAAGAUGCAUAUCUCAAUUGCUCAUGGUGGUUGGAAUUGAUACCCUAAAUUACAGCUACUUGAUAUCAGCAUCCCAAGUAAGCUCUCCAACUAGGAAAUACUUCUUCACAAUACCAAACUAAGCCUGUUCUAUUAAGGUACCCUUUAAUUCUUGUGCGGUUGUAGUUCUGCUUUUCCAGCUAGUAAAGAAAAAGGCUAGUUUCGUUUUCCUUUAACUGUGGAAGGCGACUAUCACCUGAGUACUCAAUAUAAUUAGUAUACAUGUAUUAAGAUCACUAUGCAGAGAUAAAAAGCACGGUGAAAGGCUAAAAGUGAAUGGCAAGCGAUAUUAGAAGAAAAUUAAUACAGGCAAACAUAUCCUCAAUGCUAUAGAAAAUAACAAAACAUAUGUAGGGUCAUGUAUCUGAAAGGGGUUCUCUUGUAAUCUUUAGUUAGUGCCAAAGCACCUUAAAUUAAUAAUAACUCAAGGUGGUUGGAACAUUAUGCAUAUGAGAUCCCCCUGUAAGGAUUUCAGCAGUUCACAUGGAUAAAAACAUCCAGGAGUCCAAAUUGGACAGUUAUGGUUACAUAAACAAAGCAGUUAAGUACCAGCUUGAUCUUCUAGCUAAGGCAACAGAGACAGCACCCUCUAUAGCUAAGUUCUUGCAAAGUUGCAACUGCCAGAGCUACUAAACAUUACCUUUUCAGCAGCCACCACGACCAUAAGGCGGCCAAGGAUCUCCUGAUCUGAAAGCCUCGAGAACCGGACAAUAGCACAUCGACUUUGGAUGGGUUCAAUGAUUUUAGAUGAAGUAUUGCAUGCAAGAGCAAAUCUUGUGGUGUUGGAAUAAAUCUCCAUGGUUCUUCUCAGUGCUUGCUGUGCCCCUGUUGUCAUGCUGCACAUAGUAAACAGAAAUUAAAAAAUAGUUACCAAUACCACUGAACAACAUUUUGAGCUAUAACUCGAGCUCUUAAAAAUAUUGUAAUACUACACUUGCGGAUGGAGUUGCCACCUAUACCAUGUGUUACUGUGAUGAUAAACAUUUUGGUGCGAUAAUCAUAUCAGAGUGUUUGCUUUUUGGGGUGAUGUCCAUUGACAUUUCCACUUGUAUUCUGUUUAGGGGCGAUUGACAUGUCUGUGUAUUCAGCAAGCUCUGAUGAGUGGGCCCAUCAUGUAAGAUUUUCUAUCAAAUGAGACGUUUGGGCUAUAUGAAGUUGUGAUUCUGAGUAAUUCACUACUUCCUCCGUAUCAAAAUAUAAGACGUUUUUUUAUACUAGAUUUUGGAGUUUGUAUAUUUUGUGGCAAUUGUGUUGAGUACUGUCCAACAAGUUGUUUAUCAAUGACUGAAGAAUAUGAACUUUCUACCUAUUAUUGUCAUGAAUUGAAUAAAGUCGGUAACCAAUCUCCAUAACGGGAGAUUACACAAUUCAAACAAUUAGGAAUUCGUCUGAAAGUAAAUAGUAUCAAAAAACGUCUUAUAUUUUGAUACGGAGGGAGUAUUAUCUUUAAUAUAUACAUGUAGGGUUUCCCCUGCCUAUUUUCAUAGAAAAAUACGAUAAGUCGAUAACCUCUAUCUAGUUCAUUGUAAUGCAGGCCUGUCAUUGGUUCACAAUCCAGUAUGAAUCAUACCAUUCUCAAAUGUGAAACCAACCGACGGUGAGCUAUCAACAAGGUCACUGGCAGGGACGGAUUCAGGGGGGGGAGACCCCCCCUGACGAUUCCUUCCCCCCUCGAUAGCAAUCAUGAUUUUGGCUAAUUACGCAUGUUUCCAUUCGUGUUCGCCCCCCCCCUAUUAACCGCUAACGUGUUACAGGCCAGAAGCCCAAAACCCAGACAGAGAUUUUAAAAAAAAGCCCACCGUUGAAGACAAGGGACUAGCACCCACGCGUGGCACAGUUAUGAUCUAAUCGCUUUCCCUAAAAAACUCUAACCGCUUUGUUUCCUAGCCGGCAGUCGCAGCCUCCUGCGAUCGAAGCGACGCUGCACGCCUGGGUGCAGCCUCCUGGUUAUUAACAUCAGAUUAGUUUGUGUCUUUCAAGUACAGAAGUAGAACCGUAGAAAUUACAAACAUCAGCACUAAAUCAGGAAUAGAUUUGUGGACAGAUUGUAUGUUCAGUUUCGUAUUUCUCAAAAAAAGUUAGUUCAGUUCUAAGAAAUUAGAGCGAAGAAACUAGCAGACAAGUUCAGUUUUGACAAAUUUAUGUAAACAUUGGUUUUCAUACUCUAAAGCUGAAGUUAAGUUAAUAGAUAUGUAAUAUUCAUUCGGAUCGUUCGACGGUGUGAAUAUUUCAGUCAUAUAUACUAGUUUAUAGUAUUCAAUAUGCAAUGCCUUCUAUGAUUUAAGUGCUUCCAGUUCUUGCCCCCCCCCCCCCCGCCAUCUGAAAUUCCUGGCUGGUCACUAGUAUUUCCUUUUGUUUCUCGAGCUACCACCAAGGCCUGGCUCCCAGUCUGGGGAUGGCAUUUACCUGUCAGCCUCGUCCAGUAUGACGAUCUUGUGCCGUCCCGGCGGUAGUGUGACCUUCUUCUGCGCGAACAUCUUUAUCUUGUUCCGCACCACAUCAAGCCCCCUGCAAAAGCACGGAUCGACCAUCACACGACCAAUUCAUACAGCCACGAACCGACGGUACAAAAUCAUGUCACGGCAGCAGCAACCUGUCGUCCGAGGCGUUGAGCUCGAGCACGCCCUCUCGGUAGCUGGGCCCGAGCAUCUCGUGGGCCAGCGCCAGGAUGCUCGUCGUCUUCCCGGUCCCCGGAGGCCCCUGGCGAAAAAAUACAUGGGAGUAGAGGAGACGGGGGUGAGCUUUCCGUGUUGCGAGGGUGCGCGCGGAAGGUGUUCGAGGAAAUGGCGCUUACGGAGAGGAUGAGGUUGGGCAUGUUGCCGUCGCGGGCGAUGACCUCGAGGCGGCUGACGGCGUCGGCGUUGCCGACGACAUCCGCGACGCGGCUAGGGCGGUACUUCUCCACCCACGGGAUGUCGUACGUGUCGGCGGGGGCGGGGGCGGCGGCGGAGGAGGAGGAGGCCAUGGCGCUGGGGUGGGUUGAGCGGAGGGAGGGAAAACCUUGCGGUUGUGGAGGGAAAAAGUGGGGAAAUUGCCGAGCCAGCGGCGCGCGAGGGUUUUCAUUUCGGCCCUCGGUCUCGGUCGCUUUCAAGACGACCACCCGAGUGGACGGCUGCGAUCGACUACACGAUUCUGGGCAUUUUUAUAUUGAUACAAACAAAUAUAUUGUUUUUUUUUGUGUGCCGGAAAACAAAUACUCCCUCCGUUCCUAAAUAUAAGUAUUUUAAGCGAUUUCACUAUGGACUACAUACAAAACAAAAUGAGUGAAUCUACACUUUAAAGAUGUCUAUAUACAUCCGUAUGUAGUCCUUUAAUGAAAUAUCUAAAAAGACUUAUAUUAUGGAACGGAGGGAGUAUAUUGUUAAAACAAAGGGGACUGAUAAGCGUUGGCCCCUGAACGUGUGAUACGCGUCCACCACCUCGACACCCGUUGGAUUCAUACGCGGACAGCAUACGAUCGAUCUCGUAUUCUCGUGUCCAGCAACAACGGUUUUUGUUGCACAAACAUUUAUAACACAGAUUCUGUUACAUAUUUCUGUAACAACGGCUUUGUUGCAAAAACAUUUAUAACAUAGAUUGUGUUGUAGAUUUCCGCAACAACGACUUUGUUGCAGAAUCAUUUAUAACAAAUAUUGUGUUGCAUAAUUUUGUGCAACAAAGGUUGCGUUACAUUUUUUUUGUAACACACGUUGUGUUGUGGAUUUUUUUUUAACAAAGAUAUUGUUGCAAAAACACCACCCAUGUUGCGUGCCUCGAGUGCGUCAUUGCCGGCCGCAACAUAGCAAUAGCGUUGUCGUUCCUGAUCAUGUGCAGAAGCACACGGAUAGUGAGACCUCGCGUGAGAAGAAACUUGAAGGGAAGGCUGACAUGGGCCUACCUCGCCGGUGAACGAUGGUUGCCGGCGCGGGUCGAUGGCAAGCACGGACGUGUGUGUGUGCGCGCGUCUCGGCGACUGGCUAGCUCGGGUGCGCAGCAGCGUUGCAACCAGUGAGGGCGGUGUUGCUAUCGGAAUUGCUUGGAUGUGGCACACACUGAUCAAGGGAAAGAAAAGAUCGGUUGGGGAAAAGAUAAGAUAGGAACACAUGUCAAGUAUUGAAGGUGAUGGAUGCCGAGUGCUGGAUCUGUUGGCUGAUGGGAAUAGUUUCCCUAAAACAAAUAUAUACUUGGGCCAAUUCCAUUUCCCCCUAACUUCGUCUCGAGCCAUCUUUAUCCCUAAUAAAAAACAGUGCUCAACUUUGCCCCUCUUUCGUUAGAUGGCGUUAUGUAAAUACCCUUCGUGUCAUUUUCGUCCGGUCAAAGUGGUUUGACCGUUAUCGAGACAUUUCCUCGACAUAGUUUUUCUAUUGGAAAUAUGCCCUAGAGGCAAUAAUAAAUUAAUUAUUAUUAUAUUUUUUUGUUCAUGAUAAUCAUUUAUUAUUCAUGCUAGAAAUGGUAUUGAUUGGAAAUUAAAAUACAUGUGUGGAUACAUAGACGACACACUGUCCCUAGUAAGACUCUCAAGGACUAGCUUGUUGAUCAAAGAUGGUCAAGGUUUCCUGACCAUAUACAUGGGAUGUAGUUUGAUAACAAGAUCACAUCAUUAGGAGAAUGAUGUGAUGGACAAGACCCAAACUAUGAACGUAGCAUAUGAUCGUGUCCCUUUAUUGAUAUUGUUUUCUGCAUGUCAAAGUGUCUGUUUCUAUGACCAUGAGAUCAUGCAACUCCCGGACACUGGAGGAAUAACUUGUGUGUGUCAAACGUCACAACGUGACUGGGUGACUCUAAAGGUGUUGUACAGAUAUCUCCUAAGGUGUCUGUUGGGUUGGCAUGGAUCAAGGCUGGGAUUUGUCACUCCGUGCGACGUAGAGGUAUCUCGGGGCCCACUCGGUAAUACAACAUCACAACAAGCCUUGCAAGCAAUGUGACUAAGGAGUUAGUCACGGGAUUUUGUAUUACGGAACGAGUAAAAAAGACUUGUCGGUAAUGAGAUGGAACUAGGUAUAAAGAUACCGAUGAUCGAAUCUCGGGUAAGUAACAUAUCGAUGGACAAAGGGAAUAGUAUACGGGAUUAACUGAAUCCUUGACAUAGAGGUUCAACCAAUGNNNNNNNNNNNNNNNNNNNNNNNNNNNNNNNNNNNNNNNNNNNNNNNNNNNNNNNNNNNNNNNNNNNNNNNNNNNNNNNNNNNNNNNNNNNNNNNNNNNNUACGAAUGCAGUAGGUGGAGGUGACAAAGUGCCUAGCUUCAAUCCACAUUACUUGAAUCAAUGAUAUUUAGCUCAUGCCUUAACUCCCGGAACCUUGCUUCAUCUAGGGGCUUAGUGAGAAUAUCUGCAAGUUGCUCUUCAGUGUGGAUGAAGUGAACCUCAAUAUCACCAAGCUUGAUAUGUUCACGAAUGAAGUGAUGGCGAAUAUCAAUAUGCUUGGUCUUGCUAUGUUGCACUGGGUUGAGGGAAAUCUUGAUAACACUUUGAUUGUCACAUAGAAGAGGCACUUUGUCACAAGUGACACCGUAAUCCUUUAAAGUUUGCCUCAUCCAUAGCAAUUGUGCACAACAACUUGCAGCUGCCACAUACUCAGCUUCGGUGGAUGAUAGUGAGACACAAUUCUGCUUCUUUGAAGAUCAGCUUACCAGUGAGCGACCAAGGAAUUGGCAUCCUCCAGAAGUUGACUUCCUCUCCACACAAUCUCCUGCCCAAUCUGAGUCAGAAUAGCCCACUAGGUUGAAGUUUGCUCCUUUGGGAUACCAUAGACCAAAGUUUGGGGUAUGAGCCAAAUAUCGAAAGAUUCGCUUAACAGCCAUGUAAUGACUUUCUUUUGGUGCGGAUUGAAACCGUGCACAUAUCCCUACACUCAACAUAAUAUCUGGUCUAGAUGCACAAAGGUAAAGGAGGGAUCCAAUCAUGGAGCAAUAUAUCUUUUGAUCCACUGCUUUACCAUUGGGAUCACUAUCAAGCUUGCAUGCNNNNNNNNNNNNNNNNNNNNNNNNNNNNNNNNNNNNNNNNNNNNNNNNNNNNNNNNNNNNNNNNNNNNNNNNNNNNNNNNNNNNNNNNNNNNNNNNNNNNGAUGAGUAAUUGUCCACGUAAGAGGAGCCACACGAGCUCAUCUACAAUGUGGAAAAUCAACAUUAAACUACUUUGCAUCCAACAUAAAAGCUCAAGUUCAUCUAUUUUUACCUUUGGGAUUUUUUUCGAACACCUUGCUUGCGAGGUGGAAGAGAUCGGCCGGCGGUGCGGUCAGCAGCCAGGCGACGGAGCGGUCAGCAGCCGGGAGCAGUUAGCCGACGACGGAGCGGAGCGGAGCAGGCGGGCGGUGGAGGGGAGUGAUACGUCUCCAACGUAUCUAUAAUUUUUUAUGGUUUCAUGCUAUUAUCUUGUCAAACUUUGGAUGUUUUGCAUGCCUUUUAUAUAUUUUUUGGGACUAACUUAUUAACUCAGUGCCAAGUGUCAGUUCUUGUUUUUCCCAUGUUUUUGACCCCUUUCAGAGGAGAUUUUGAAACGGAGUCCAAACGGAAGAAAAUCCCCGAAAAGAUUUUUUUCUGGAACGGAAGAAGAUCAGGAAGCUUGAGAGCCAAGGCAGGGGAGCCUCAGGGGCCCACAAGCCCCCACCCCGCGGCCAGGGGGGUAGGCCGCGCCACCCAGGCUUGUGGGCCCCUGAGCGCCCCCUCAUCUAGGGGUUGCGCCUAUAAAUUCCCUAAAAUCUCAAAAAAAUAAGGAGAUCAUUGAAAGUACUUUUCCGCCGCCGCAAGCUUCUGUCUCCGCAAGAUCCCAUCUGGGGCACGUCGUGGUGCCCUGCCGGAGGGGGGAUUCGGAUACGGAGGGCUUCUUCAUCAACACCAUGACCGCUCCGAUGAUGCGUGAGUAGUUCACCAUAGACCUACGGGUCCAUAACUAGUAACUAUAUGGCUUCUUCUCUCUCUUGGACCUUCAAUACAAAGUUCUCCAUGAUCUUCAUGAAGAUCUAUCCGAUGUAAUCCUCUUUUGCGGUGUGUUUGUCGAGAUCCGAUGAAUUGUGGAUUUAUAAUCAUAUUAUCUAUGAAUCUUAUCUGAGUUUCUUCUGAUCUCUCUUAUGCAUGAUUUCAUAUCCUUGUAAUUCUCUUCGAGUUGUGGGUUUUGUCNNNNNNNNNNNNNNNNNNNNNNNNNNNNNNNNNNNNNNNNNNNNNNNNNNNNNNNNNNNNNNNNNNNNNNNNNNNNNNNNNNNNNNNNNNNNNNNNNNNNAAAGAAUGAUCUAUUAACAUCCGAAUUUACGAAAAUUGGGAUGUUACAGAAGAUGGGUUGUCAAAAAAAGAUGGCACAUCAAGAUAAUAAAGCAUUGCGCAGAAAAUCAUAGUCCACGACAACCGUCGGUGAAAGAAGUUCGGCGGAUAAGGCACGAUGGACGUAGAUCGACAAUGCAAAAGAAAUCCAGAAAAUCCUAUAGAAAACAACAAGGGCAAGUAGGCCACAAAAGUUGCAUAGAAAGGAUCAGGACCAAAGAAAAGGCCGACGGACAAAGGUAUGGUGGACUCGCAUGACGUGAGAAACACAAAAUAUCAACGGGUUUGGUGGACACAACGAAAAACAAAGAAAACUAGAAAACACACACUAGACUAGGGAUGAUGGCAGCGGAAGAGAAAAAAUAAUAUCAUGGCGGCAAAGGCCAAAACCAAGCUCCUGUCUGUGAAGAGGGUUGACUCUCUGAGCUAAACCAGUCAACAACAAGACCAAUAGAACCUGUUGAAGAAGAAACUGAAGCUGCAAGCAGAUGCUUAAGUCACACAAUACCCUCCUCAGUCAGAGACACUCCUGAAGGAGUCGGGGUAGAAGUGCGAGUCCCUGAAGUCUCUGAACGUGGCUGGAUUAGUUGUCGUUUCUUCAAGUAGCAAUCAGGCUCGAGGUGACCAUUCGUGUUGCAGUAGCCACAGUGAGUACGAGGCGAUCCUUACCACCACCAGAAGAAGUGGGGAGGACUGGCGGGCUAGAGCAAAAAGUUGGUGCAGCAAACGACGUAGCAGGAGCACGAGCAGCGAGAACAGAGGGAACCUCAAGUAAACCAGCACCAUGAAGGCGAGUCUCCACAGCUUGAAUCUCAGAAAGCGCCUCCAUAAGAGUAAUACGGCCACGAGCAAACAACUGAGCGCGUCGUGGCUCAAAUUCCGAACGAAGUCGAGACAAGAACUCAUAGACGCGAUGAAAUUCCAAGUCAGCCCGCACAGCCUGGCAACACUUGCAAGUACGACAACCAGCAGUGCGAAGAGAGUCAAGCUGACGCCAAAUGGCAGAACUCUGGGCGUAGAAAUCGUCAACGGUGGAUUCACCCCUGAAGAGCAUGCUCGUGACGAACCACAGAUAAAUAUAAGGCAUCACCAGAGGGUUGAUAGCGCUGGCAAAAACAUGUCCACAUGGCAAAGGCGGUAGCGAGGCCCAUAAACUCAGAGGCAAACCGAGGCAAAACACUAGAUGUGAGAACAGCCGCAGCACGAGCAUCAUCAUCACACCACUUAGUGUAAGUAGAUAGAGCAUCACGAUAAAAGUGAAGAGACUCCUCAUAGAUCAAAACUUGUUGCUCAUAAGCACAAGCUGCAGACUCAUCAGCAAGCUUAGCUGCAUCCUUAGCAGUCUGAGGAGCAUCCGCAGCAAGAGACGAAGACUUAGGCGGAGUAGGAGCCACAGGAGAAACCGGGCACGGCAGACAGGAAACCUCACCAGAUAGAACACCGCAGAGACGAAUGCCACGCAUAUGAAUGCGAAAGAAACCAACAAACUCAGUGUGGUUUGUACCAUCAAAAGUCACCUGACAACGGGGAACAAGGACAUAGCCUGACGACAUUGGACCUGUUUUUUUUUUAUCAGAUGAAGCAGCCACGAUCCAGUCCAGCCAAAGCAACAAAACACAGCCGAACAGUUGUAGUCAACCGUAUCCAGAAGCCCAACGAAAACCAGCCAAGGAAUAACCAGCCAAAACGGAGACAGGGGCUGCUCACGAGGACGUGCAGGCGAGAAUCAGCAGCCGCAUGCGUAAAUCCAAUCCAAUACACAGACGGCUGCAACUCUGGAACGCACGCGCAGGCAGGCUGGUGUGCAUGUGAGCGAACAGAUCUGGCAGGAUUCACGCACGGGAAUCGGCUGGGAGGACGGGCGGACGCGCGGUCAACACAGACGGAUCGGGCGGCGCGCUUGACGAACGUGGUGUUGGGAUGGGAGGACAGCAGCGAGCCGACUAGAGGAGAGGGUCGGUCGCGCAGGAUAACAACGUCGGCCGAGAGAAAAUGACGGCGGCGUGGGAUUGAAUCAGCACGAGUUGCGCGUGCGAAAAAAUAACCUAGGGCUCUAAUACCAUGUUAGGAAAGCAACUUAUCUUUAUUGAAGGCCCAAGGGGCAUAUAUAUAUUACACAAGACUUGAGGUGCAAGGAAAGUAAACAUAGACUAAUAAGGACACCUAAACCAAUACUAAUACUUCCUAACAAGUCUUGCCCGUGGAGCCGGGUCCACCCGUGGAGCGUGGGCACAAUGGGCUUGUCUCCUACAUGGAAGGUGCCCAUGAAUGUCACUGGGACUGGGAGGGCAUGGUUACUCGAAUAUCAAAAUCUAUACCUAAUAAUAAAGCGGCUAUUGCUUCCGUCGGAAAAUCCACCACGACAUUUUUAUAAAAAAGCCCCUGUAAUUUUUGUUAUUCAACCCGCGCUCCAUCAUUUAUCUGCAACGUAAAAGGAAAAAACGACUCGCUGCAAAAAUUAUACCCGUACGCAUCGCCUCCUCCCGUCGACCCUGGGCCACCCUGGCCUGUGCCCAGGCCGCCGCCACACCACUCGCCGCCNNNNNNNNNNAGUUUAGAAAAUUUGCAAAACCAAAAUGGUGACUUUAACUCACAGGGGAGAAGUCAUAUUAUCUCCACUCCGAUAAAUUGCCCGCAGUCACAUAACGAUAAAAAAAAUUCAGAGGAACGCAAUGAUGCAUAAAAUAUGGGAUGCAAAAGAAUGAUCUAUUAACAUCCGAAUUUACGAAAAUUGGGAUGUUACAUCUUCUCUUGAUACUUAUCUUGUAUCUUCAAGGGGUGCGGUGUCUACCUCUGAUGUGCCAUCUCUUCGUUAUCCCCUUUGGCUUGACUCGACAGGUUCUGAAAACUCUUCAUGCUACGACGACACUCUCAAGACGUGGAUUUGGAUUAUCAUUUUUUUAGUAUUACACCUUUUCAAAUGCAAUGCUAUUGCAUACGCUUUGCAUUUGAGGGGGGUGUUAGGAAGUAUUCGUAUUGGUUUAGGAGUCCUUAUUAGUCUACGUUUACGUUCCUUGCACCUCAAGUCUUGUGUAAUAUAUAUAUGCCCCUUGGGCCUUCAAUAAAGAUAAAUUGCUUUCCUAACAAGACUGACAUCUUCUCAUAUGUGUUUUGGACACCCAAAAUUAUUAAAAUAAACCUUUGGUUAUGGAGGAGUUAUGCUUGGUGUAGUGCCGACCUGCAUGUAGAAAACUUUGAUUCUACGACCAUGAAAGCAUUUGAUUAAAAUGAACACAAUUGGGCAUCUAGAAAACGCAGGUCAGAGAUGCAUUGCUGAAAGGGUUUAACGAAAUACCCAGUCAUGCAGUUUGGGAAGGAGUGGUAACCAAAAUGUGUUACCUGAAGGGUGUUGAGUUUCACGCAUAAUUUUGGGACUGUCAAAUUGUUCAAUUUAUUAGCCACCUUUUCUUCACGAACUGUAGGCUCAAUAAAUUUCCUUUUGGCAAAUGGAUUAACUGAUUCCGCAUAACGGGUCAAGACUGGCGCAACAGGAAGCAGGGUGGCUCUAGAAACUGCAAUCGAGAAAUGACAGAUGAAGAAAAAACAGUUAUUGAUACAACCAAGCAAAAGUAAUUAAUACAGUUUUAGAAGAUAAAAAAAAUGUAGAUGUUAUAUAGUACUUGUGAAACUGCUACAUGCUGUUCUGCUGGAUAAGUAUUAGCACAUUGGUUAAAAGAAAAGAUGAUGGUUGUAGCGAUAUCCCACAGCCUCUAGGAUGUAGUCAGCAAAUGUAUCAGUCUUUUGAUUAGUUGGUUUCGUUCAUGUAUGUUUUCAGUUUUUUUAUCUGCACAAAGUUAGGGACUACGAUGACACAGGCGGUUAAACAACUCAUGCAAUUAAAAAUAGCUUCUAUAGGCUAUAGCAAUGCAUCAGUAUUUAACUUCCGUAGCAAUGCACGAGUAUUUAGCUGGUAUGUCUAAUAAUCAAAACUACUAAAUAUGUACUGAAAGCGGUACCACAUGAUGUUUCACAUUAAAUUGCAAGAAUAUCAACACAGAUAUCUCAUGAUGCCCAUUGACAGAUCUGUUAAUAGUAAACGUAGUCACAAGGCUGCACAAGUAACACUAGCGUCAGCGUGGUACAGUAUGAUGCCGACUCAGUGUAGUCUUCUUCUAAGAUCAUUUGAGGUCAACAGUUCACGUAUAAAGUGAGCAGUUCCAUUGACACACCUGAUGUGAUGACAUUAGGACUCAUGUUGGUUACUUUCUGUCAUACCUACUACAAAUGUACUGUACAAAUGAGACCUCGUGGGUCCAAGAUAGUGCAUUGGCAUUUACGCAGAAUUAAGGCAUACCUUGUUGGUUUUCCAUGUGAAGCAGAUAGACUUGAAGGCUGCUAGUGAUUCCUAUAAGCAGACUCCGCAGGUGGACAAUAUCCAGAGGUAGACUUGAGUUAAAAAACUGAUCAAUUGUCUGCACAUAGAAUGAUCAGAUAAGCCCAAAACCAAUAUAAGAGUAUUAACUGAAUAAAAAUAAGGAAAAAUGUGAGUUUGUAGUAGAACAGCCGUCAGAUUAUUAUUGUUUUUUGAAGAACUUCAACAUUCAGGCAGUGACUGGAAAUAUUGAAGAUUCUGCCUCCAUAAUGAACUUUCCAAUGACCAAUAUUCAGAUUGCGUUAAGAUCAGAUAGCAUAUUUUUUAAGGGAAGCCCCGGCAAUAUAAAUAGGAGCCUAAAUCUGAGUCCAUGAUGACAAACCCAGGUGGUGAGAUUGUACAUCCACUCCCCCAACCAAGUGAGCUAGGCUCGUUUCCUAGUAAUCACCAUGUUUACUACACCCUCCGAUCCAAAUUGAGUGAUGCACCUUUAGUACAGCUUUAGCACAAAGUUGUACUAAAGAUGCGUCAAUUAAUCUUGAUCGGAGGGAGUAAUAAGUUUGCACCAAGUCAUCCGAAAGCAAGAGAUUUUUUUUCUUCUCUUCAUUUUCUUUAGGAACAUAAAAUAUGGUGGUAAAUGAGUUCAUUGGAAGAAAAGCUGACCUCCUCCACAAUCCGGAAGACUUCAACCAUAGAUGUCGCUAGUUUCCUGUGAACUGACAGAGGCUCCCAAUUCUAUGGACCAGAGAUGAAACAACAGCCCGCGUGAACAAUUUGUCUUGGAGACUUAAAAGAAGACAAAAAAAAAAUACAUACGAAAGGCAAACAAAGCAAAUUUAUGAUGCAUAACAAAAGUUUGAAGAGUUAGCUAUUAAAGAGGAAUCUUAAAUAGAAAAAAUUGAAGUCACCAAUUAAAGAAUGUCACAUGGGCUACCAUCAUCUUCUUGCGGACGCCAGUACUAGUCACAGAGUUAUGUCAAUAACAACAACCAUAUGUGUCUGAUUAUUACAUAUGUAGCACCAGUUCAGUUUUGUUGAACGUACCAUGCCAGUUUCAAUAAAAUCAACACUAAGCUAUCCCACUAAGGUUGUUCAAAUCUGACGUUGUGGUUAAUAUUAUUAUCUUGUCACAAUAAAUAAAGCUUGAAUUUUCUUCUUUCUUUGCAAGAUUCAACCUGACUGCAAGACUGUAACUACCAAUUUAACAGCAUAAAAUGCAUUGAACUAGCAAGCAGGUUACUGUAUGAACCAUGUGGCACUAAAAAUGAAUGUGAUCAAAUUUGCAGCAAACAAUACCCGCAUGCACAAUUUUACAAUCACGAUACAUCUACAGAGGAACUUUCCUAUUUUCCAUGUAUCAAUGCAAAGAAAAUACAGAAUCAUUUUCAGGAUGUUCUAGCAUAAUUAACCAUGCACUAAAAACCUUAGCAGUGAAUUCUGCAUAGGAUAACAAACCUCAAUCUCAAUGGUACGCUUUGUCCACUCCAAAACAUUCUCGUGUUGAGCAUGAAGCCACUGAAGAAUGAUGGGUGAAGAAAAACGAUCUAUCUGUAUAAAAUUUAAAAGGUGUCAUUCAGUCCAGCAUAAUGUGGAAAUGCCACUUGGCACACCAAUGCAGUUUGAUCCAAACUAAAAAUGAGACCAAGUGAUAUCUCAUUGUUGUACUUUAAUUUUUGUCUUAUAAGUAAAUGUUAAGAGGGGUCGUGGUAGACCAAACUUGACAUGGGAUGAGUCCGUUAAGAGAGACCAUAAUGUGUAUAAUUUUAUUUCAUUUUGUGCCAAGUGUAUAAAUAAUUGUCUUAGAAUUGUAAUAAGAUUAGGUUUUGAAGUUAUGAAUAAACUACUAGGGAAGACAUUACGUCAAGAUGCUUGUGUCAAGAAAAAGCAAAGCAUCUACGAAAUCAGGAUAGCUUGGCAGUUUGACAAGCACAAUAAAAAAGGUUCUUAGUGUUAGGAAUAAGCAACUUGUAUUCCCAUGAGGCCAUAGACCGAUAUAUAUACAUGUACAGGUGAUGGACUAUAUGCAGGAAACCCCUUAUAUAACGGGAUAAAUACAAAAGGAUACAUGGCUAUAUUAUAUCUACUCUAACACCCCUCUCAAACUCAUGGUGGAUGAACAACACUAAGUUUGAAGAGAUAGAAGCCAUGUUGUGCUCUAGUCUUGGCCUUCGUCAGAAAAUCUGCCAACUGUAACUCGGAAGGCACAUACUGAAGAGCAAUAACCUGAUCCUGCACACCAGCGCGCAUAUAGAAAGCAUCAACACUAAUAUGCUUGGUGAGGUCAUGCUUCACAGGAUCGCGCGCAAUGCUGAUAGCACUUGUACAGUCAGAUAAGAGCAGAGUCGGUGUAGUGACAGAAACACCAAAAUCCUGAAGUAACCACCGUAACCAAGUCACCUCUGCCGUCAAAAGAGCCAUCGCACACAACUCAGCCUCUGCACUCAAACGGGAAACUGCGAUCUGUUUCUUCGUCUUCCAGGCAAUGAAAGAACCACCAAGAAAAACACAGUAAGCAGAAAGUGAACGGCGAUCCAAA